rnacentral:rRNA from 1 species
UACGGAGGUGGCAAGCGUUGUUCGGAUUUAUUGGGUGUAAAGGGCAUGUAGGCGGUUAUGUAAGUCAAAUGUGAAAUACCUCAGCUCAACUGAGGAAGUGCAUUCGAAACUGCAUGACUUGAGUGUAGGAGAGGAGAGCGGAAUUCCCGGUGUAAGGGUGAAAUCUGUAGAUAUCGGGAGGAACACCAGUGGCGAAGGCGGCUCUCUGGCCUAAAACUGACGCUGAAAUGCGAAAGCUAGGGGAGCAAACAGG